GAAAAUUCAUUCUCUUAUCUUCCUUCUCUUUCUUCUUUCUUCUUCUUUUCUUCUGCUUCUAUUCAUCGCCUCCGGCGAUUUUGUAUGAUGAUUCUGAGGUCGAAAUCAAAGAGAACUUAGGGGAAACUUUAGGAAUUGAUAACUGGAGCUGAUGUUGUGGUUAAUUGAGUUCGAGAGAAGAAAGAGGGGAUGUUGCUGUAAGACUUGAAUUAGGGUUUGAGAUUAUUUGAGAAUUGAUAAGUUAAACGAGGUGUUAACAGAUGAAGAAAGCUUGAGUUGAUGUUUAAUUGAAGUUGCAGAGUUGUUCUAGUGAUUGAAUCCAAAGUUGGGUUCAUAUGUUAUUCCCCUAAUUAGAAUUAGGGUUUGUAAGAAGUUCAAAGAAGAAUUUAAAGAUGAAAUUGAGAGUUUAAAGAGAAAAUUUGAUAUGGGUAUUGAUUGAUUGGAUGAAUUAGGGUUAGAGAAGAAGAGUAUUUCAAGUUUGAUGAAGUUAAGGUUUUGAAUUGAUUGUGAAGCUAGGCUUUGCUUCUGUUAAUAAAGAAAUGACGGAGAUAUCUUUGGUGAUGAACAAAUUGAUGUUUGAGCAAAUUUGAGUUGAGCUGUAACUUGGGGUUGGAUGUGAAUUGCAUAAAGAGAAAAGAUGGUGUUGCCACUGUUUUAGAAGGAUUAAGGUUUAGAUGAAUGAAUUAUGUCAAGGUAUGGAACUGUUGCAUAUGAUGAAUAAGAGCUAAAAGGUGGUUAUGUAUAAGUUGAUAAUUGAAAGUGAAAUGAUGAGUAUGCAGUGGUAUUGUGUACAUGGUUUAGGUUGUGUUUGAUUUACAGGAAGAGGGUAUGUUUUGCGAUGAAUGCAGGGAAGAAAUGAAAUAAUGUAUUAAUAUUGUUGUGUAUGAAUUGAUAGUGAAGAGAGUGUUUUCGAGGCAAGAUUGAUUGUUAUUUGAAACUGGGAUUGAAGGUGAUAUGGUAACACAAUUAAGAGUUGGAGUGUAUGAAGUGGGUUUAUAGGAUUUUAGUUAUGAUUGAGUUACAGAAGACAUGGAUAAAUCUAGAGGUUCAGUUGAACUGGUGGUGUUGGUUGUGUUGAGAUAGAGAUGGGUUGGUGCAGGUGGAAUGGGAAAGACAAGAUGUGGUUGGUUAAUUGGUGGGUAUAUGUUGAGUUGCAGAUAUAGCUAAUGUGAGUUUAGGGAUGUAAACUGAACUUAGUGGAUGAUAAUAUUGAUGUUGAAGUUCAGAUUGAGUUACAAGAAGGUAAGUUGUAGCUAAGGUUAGUGGUAGUGUUGUAUAGGAUUCUCAGAUGAAGUCUGGUGAUGGUCUGUUAGUUAGAGAAGUGUUUUUGGAUGUAAUAAUAUGGCUUGAGGACAGUCUCUAUGAAGGCUUGUCACUGCAAUUGCAGGUAAGCUGAUUUGUGAUUAAGAAUGUACUUGUGAAUUUAUUUGUAUUCAAUAUAUUGUUAUUUGAAAUUAUAGUUAA